GGCAAAGUCACAGCUCUCCUUCCCCUCCCCCUCUGUAAGUAUUCAACUUUUUGGUUUAGGUUCUUUUAGUCUUUAUGUAAAGGAUGCAGAUAACGUAUGUAUGUAUAUAUACAUAAAGACAUUUUAUGUGUGAGGAGAGAUAGUCAUGUUGUUUAUAACACUUUUUUUCCCCCAAGUUUUCAGUAUUUUUACAAAUCAAAAGACAUAUCUCCAUAUCAUCAUUUUCAUAGCUGUAUGCUAUUCCAUGGAAUGGAUAGACUAUAUUUUUAUUUAGCUGGUCUCCUAUUGGUAGGUGCUUUGACUGUUUCUGUGUGUGUGUAUGUGUGUGUGUGAAUAAUGAACAUCUUACAUCUCAGUGCCUCUGCCCAGUAAUCAUUUCUUCAGUAAAUUCACAGAAGUGGAAUUACUGGGUGAAACCUAUGCAUACUUUAAGGCUUUUGUUAAAUUUUAAAGUAUGUUUUAUUUAUACUAUAACCAGUAUAACAGAGUGUCCCUUUAUGUGGAUCUUGAUUCUUAGGUAUUUAAUGCAGUUCUGUCCACUCACUCUGGCCCCCUGUUUGGGUAGAAGAUGCAUCAUGGGUAGAGGAGCCAGACUUUCACUCAAGUAACUCGUCUUUCUGAAGAAUUUUUUUUUUUUUAAAUCUCAAACUACAUACAAUAUUAUUUCUAAAAUCCCAGCAUUGAGGGGCACCUGGCUGGCUCAAUCUCAGGGGGGUGAGUUGGAGCUCCACAUUAGGUGUAGAGAUUACUUAAAAAUAAAAUCCCAACAUUGAAAAUAUAGGUCUUUUUGUGGCUUUUAGUUUAAAAAAAAAAAAAAAAAAGCAGUGACCUGGUACUGUCUGAGUUAAGUAACUUCCCAUGAAGAAGUAGAAACGUCUGGGACACCCGUAGCCACCUAGUAGGAGCUCUGGCUCUUACCUGGGCAGCUCUGCGUCGAUCAUCCUGCCAUUUACCUGGACACAUAGCGGGGCACAGCACUGCCUUUGGCGGAGAUUGUGUUUAUAAAGCACAAACUGGUAAUUCCAAGUCAGACUGUACCCACGCCUUGAGGAUAGCUUUUCUGCAGACUGGUCUGUGACUGUGGUACAAGUGUCUUCACACAGUAAAAACAGAUUUUUUCAAACAGUUGCAAACUAAAAAAUUUUACACUGAGGCCUAAGGCCCUAAGUAAAAACUAGCUAAAACAAGUUUAUUGAGACAAAAUUCACAUGUAUUAGGAGAUAAAAUUCACCAUUUAAAAGUGUACAGUUCAGUGGGUUUUAUUAUAUCCACAAGGUUACCCGGCUGUCAGCACUAAUUUCCGAGCACGUCCACACCCCAAAAGGAAAACUCCGUACUCAUUUGCAGUCGCUCCCCAUCCCCUUUUCCCUGCAGUCCCUGGCAACCACUCAUCAUCUCCUUUCUGUCGCUAGACAUGUUCUCUAAACGGAAGCUCACAACACGUGGUCUUAAUUUACGUCUGGUUUCUUUCACCUGGCAUCUUGUCCUCGACUUUUGUUCAUGUCGCAGUGUGUAAUAAAAACAGUGUUAGAAAAUGAAACUAAUACUGAACCAGCUACGUAUUGAAGAAGGGGUGAUUCUUUCUCCCUUGAGAAGGUUGAAAACACAGGAGGAGCUGUUAGUGACAGAAAAGGAGCAGGAGGAGAAGAGAGUGAGCGACAGGCCGGAGGCUGGCAACAGAGACUGUUGACCAGGAGGAGAGACUCGCAGGAGAAGGAAGAAGUAGAGUCAUUGAGCUCUCUGGGGACUAAGACCAGUUUUAUGGAUGAGGAUUUCAAAAUGUGCCUUUUACUUACCUUGAAACCGAUUAUUCUGGGGUAGAAACAAUGAUCCUUUUCCAGUCAGCUCCCCGGGGUCCAGGCUUCCCAGAUAGAGGCCCCUUCGACAUCCGACCAAAUUAUUUUUUCCAAACAUCAGCAGGUCGUUCUUCCAGCGGAGGCCCCUUCCUCACCAGCACCUCCCAGGGGCAUGUGUUCCUCCGCACUCGGCCUUCUAGAUGUUGACUGGGCCCGGGCUGCCGUUGGAGCUGCCUUUGUGGGCGGCGUGUUUGACUUCUUUUAAACCUUCUUCUGCUUAUUGUCAACUCGCCUUUAGCAGACUUUCUCCAAGCAGAGUAGGAAAAAAGUGCAGCUGAUUUGAAUUGAAGGUGAUAAUGAUGGCAGCGUCAUGUACUUGAUAAGUAGACUUUUGCUGUCUCUGUCGGAGGAGGGAAAUAGUGAGACAAAUCAUUAAAUCUCUUCUUUGACUUUGGACUGCCUGUCCUAUUAUUCGCUUACAUUCCUCCUAAAGACCCAGCUGCUUCCAUUUCUCUUACAGUGGGGCAAGGGAAAACCAAGCUUAGAAGGGACAAUGUUUCCAUGGGGAACUCAUGACCAGGCUGUGUGAUCACGGGGAGCUCAAGGUUCCCGGAGCAUGGGUACUGCGUGGAGGGAACAGCGAAAAGUCUCUCUCUGUGAGAGUGGCUGCUGGUUGAUCAUCAGACCAGAAUCAGCAGCCUGAUAGUGUUUUAGUAGAAAUCACAGAUACUUUUAUAGCUUUUAGUCUGCAUCUUACCGUGAGGCAUCUGCCUUCACCUUCUUAAAUUAGAUGACUUACGAUCACUGAAAGCUACUGCUUUUAUGAAGAUCUCAUAAGUGAGACAAAUAAAUUCUUAUAUUACAAAGAAAAAAUACGUGUUUAAAAACACAGAAAGCCCCUGUCUACCCUCCUAGAGCUUAGCUCUGCCAUCCUGGAGGGACUGUCAUUUUGCAGCUCUUAGAGGUUCCAGGGGUUGAAACCAAAGCAUGGGUCCUAGGAGGGGAUAUUAUUUGCCAGCACAUGCCUGCUGCAGGCACCCCCCAGCUAGAACUGAGCUGCUGGUGCUGUCGUGUGCAGAAGCAUUAUUUGGGCCCCACUUCCACAGAUGCGCUGACUCAGUAAUGUGAGGAAGUUACAGCAGUCUGCAUUUGUAACAGGCUCUCCGAGUGAUUCUGACAAAGGAGGCCUGGUUUUAGGAAACAUUCAGCUUAUGGAAUGGAAGUUUGGGGAUGCGGAGAGGUGGUUGGUGGCAGGGAGGGGAUGGUCUGGUAAUGCUGCCAGAAGGGAGAGGGGCAGGACGGGGUGAGGACAGGAGACAGGAAGUAAGAGGAGUUCUUCAAAGGAAGGAAGUGCACCAAAGACAAAAUUUCUGUUUUUCAAGCUUGCCUAAGGCUUUGAUGGUGGAGGUGUUAUGUGGGAGGUGAUUUCUGUUUGUGCACCUUUGGGACAAUGGUGCACAGGUUGUGGAUGCCCUGAAUAGAAAUAUCUGGGCUAUUUUAAAGUAUGCGAAGUUCCGUCUUCACUUCAGCCUGCCCUCCCUCCUCUAGGACAAGCUCUAGGUCAGCAUCAUUGGGCCUGUUCUAGAGUCCAGCAGGAAAAGAGGAGGAGAAAGAAGGAAGUUGUGCAUUUGCUAACUGCCAUUUCCUCCCACAGUGCCGGUACCCUGCUAACCUUUCCUUUCCCCCCUGAAUUCUUGCGAGGUCGAGGAGUGUUUUCUGUUGGGCGGGAGAAGUGAAAUGCAGGAGUAAAUGAGAUCUCCAAGGGAAAGGAAGAGAAGAGGCUUGGACAUCCAGACAUUCUGUCGGGCAGUGUUUACCAGAGGUCUGCCGUGUGCAGGGUUACACCAAGCCUUGAGGAUACAGUGGGAGCAAGACUGGCGUCGCCUUUGCCCUUAUGGAGCUUAGAGUCGAGUCAGAGGGACAGACACUGUGCAGCUAGUUUUGCAACCAGUUACGCAAUUUUAAAAAAUGUGAU